rnacentral:rRNA from 1 species
UACGUAGGUGGCAAGCGUUGUCCGGAUUUACUGGGCGUAAAGCGUAUGCAGGCGGAUACUUAAGUAGAGAGUGAAAGGCGGGAGCUCAACUCCUGGACUGCUCCCUAUACUGGGUGUCUUGAGUGGCGGAGAGGAAGAUGGAACUCCAUGUGUAGCGGUGAAAUGCGUAGAUAUAUGGAGGAACACCAAUGGCGAAAGCAAUCUUCUGGACGCAAACUGACGCUGAGAUACGAAAGCUAUGGUAGCGAACAGG